rnacentral:rRNA from 1 species
AUGGCAGUGGAAAGGCAAAUAAAGAGAAUUUCUCAUUUUAUUUGCGAAUGUUUUUUCAUGACGGCAAGGGUACUUAACUUGGGAGUGAUGAAAGCUGUGGCAGAUCUUAAACAUAUCUCUCGGGAACUCGCAAGGUGUGAAGAUGAUUUGGAAGCAAACAACGCAAUCAGAGAUCAAGGAGGAAGUUCACCACAGCUUGAGCAAGAUAUAACAUGCUUGGAGAAGAUAGUUGCAGCCUUAUCCCAAGAACAGUUCUGCUAUGAAUCUCAGAUACUAAGGGACAGUGCUUUUCUUCAGCGUGCACUAUCUUUCUACAGAUUAAUGAUAUUGUGGUCAGUAGGCUUAGUUGGGGGAUUUAAGAUGCCUUCGCCAUCAGAAUGGCCCAUGGAAUUUUCUUGCAUACCGGAGCAUUUUCUUGAUGAUGCAACGGAUUUACUUGCUCUAACCUCUAGAAUUCCAAAAGCUCCGGAGGGCUUCCCUUUGGAUGAUUUUCUCAAUUUCAACAUCAUGUUCAUGGCGAGCUCUUCUUACAUUAAAAAUCCUUACCUGAAAGCAAAGAUGGUUGAAGUUUUGAAAAGCUGGAUGCUACAAAGAAGCAGCUUGAAAUCCACAGCCUCGUUAUUUGAGGGGCACCAACUAUGUCUCGAUUAUCUUGUCAAGAAUCUUCUAAAGCUUUGUGUGGAUAUUGAAUUCAAUGGCUCCCAUACACAAUUCUUCGACACAUUUAAUAUUCGACACAAGAUUGCUGAGCUUCUUGAGUAUUUAUGGGAUGUUCCUUGGAGACAAAUGGCUAAAGACAGUCCCUGGUGUAGUUGUUUUAGAGGUGAACCUUGCCGACCACAAUGA